UAUACGUGUGUGUGCAUGUGUUUGCAUGUGUGUCAUUACUUUUCAUGCAUAGUCAAACACAAAGAUAAUUGUCUCAUGCACACA
rnacentral:miRNA from 1 species